AAGUCUGACCAUUUUCAGUUUCUCCAAACCGUGAAGGGAAUGGGGCUAUCAGCUAUUUCACCACUUCUGUAAUGCUCACGCUUGAUCCUGAGGAUUCACUUGAUUUUCUUAGGACGGCACGUAUGGCUACUUAUGUGUUUCUGAUCUCUGGACCUACCCUCCAUCUUUGGUUCAAUUUUAUCUCAAAAUUGUUCCCCAAAAAGGAUGUAGUGAACACAUUGAAGAAGAUGGCUCUAGGGCAAGCAGUCUAUGGACCAAUUAUGAAGUCAGUUUUCUUCUCGUAUAAUGCAGGAUUACAAGGUACUAUUGCUUACAUGCCUCCAUAUAGACAUGCUUGAGAAUUGAGAUACAUGGAAAUAAUUUUCUGGUCUAGUUCUUAUUGAGUUGCACAAAAAUCAUCUGUUGAAUUUCAGUACUCUGUUCAUUUUUCUAGUGUAGCUUGACUCUGCAAAAUCAUCCUUUGACCGCAAGUUACUUCUACAAUAGUUUAUUAGUAGUUAAAAAUCAUAAUUAUUGACAGGUGCUUUUGAAUUCUAAUCCGAUGUUAUCAAUUUUGUGGCACAUGACUUAUAUAUUGUUAGAUUUUGGUCUAUGCAUGAAUUUGGACAGUCAGACCAUGCCUUACAAAAAUGAUUGUGUCAGUACUUAUUUGUUGCGCAUGCUUCUGUUACCUUAUUUUGACAUUGUCCUAUUAACUCUACCUAUUCUGUUUCCUAUGCUGACGAUUAGUCUGUUUCAGUGACACAUUAAUUAAAAUGAUUGUACAGCAGGCUUGAUCUUCAUUUUCUCCUAAAGUUUUAUAUGUGUAGGACUUCUAUUUUAUUAUCGUAAAAAGCUAAUAAUAUGGAGUUCAGUUGGCAUUAGUUGCCGAGUCCUCAAAUUCUUAAAGACUCCUUCCCUGCUCCAAACAAAAGAAACAACUAUAUUCCUUCUAUUUGAUUAUCUGUAAACACAUGAAUGGAUCUAUUUACUACAAUCUUGUAUUCAAAGUGGUCCAGCGAAAAAAUAGCACAUCAUGGAUACAGUAUGUUCCUGUUUCGUAUGAUUUCUGUGAGAUGCAACUAUCAAUGUACUGGGUACGAACUACUACCUGGUGGCUGCACAUGGUAGCAUUUAUUAUUCUGUCUGUAUUAUGUGAAGGAAAGCAAGAUAUCCAUCUGUAAGCGGGCUUGCACGUCUGUUAAAUAUGGACCCCUUUCGUAACGACUGCAAGCACUCUGUUGUAUUAGCAUAUUUGAUCUGAUCUUAUUAGUUCAAAAUAGUAUCUUAAUAGUUACAUCCUACUUCAAUCUUGGUGGACAGGUGACUAAAGGGUUCAAACUCAUUACUCAUAUAUGUUGAAUGCAGCAAACACCUAGAGCCACUUUGUACUGUUGAGCAUUAUAGCAGAGACAGCAUUCAGAUAAGCUUGCAUGCAGUACACCCUCCCCACCAACUUUAGCGAUCUGAAACCUUUUUUUGUCGCAAACUAUUCUGGUAUGCAGACUCACACACUAUUUAGUGGCUUUUUCUGAUCUGAUACGCAGGCGAGACUCUUCCUGAGAUCAUUGCAAGAUUGAAGAGGGAUCUAGUUCCCGCCAUCACAAGCGGGCUUUUAUAUUGGCCAACUUGUGAUCUCAUUACUUUCAAGUUUGUUCCAGUUCAUUUACAG